AUUGAACGCUGGCGGCAGGCUUAACACAUGCAAGUCGAGCGGGGGAAGGUAGCUUGCUACCGGACCUAGCGGCGGACGGGUGAGUAAUGCUUAGGAAUCUGCCUAUUAGUGGGGGACAACAUCUCGAAAGGGAUGCUAAUACCGCAUACGUCCUACGGGAGAAAGCAGGGGAUCACUUGUGACCUUGCGCUAAUAGAUGAGCCUAAGUCGGAUUAGCUAGUUGGUGGGGUAAAGGCCUACCAAGGCGACGAUCUGUAGCGGGUCUGAGAGGAUGAUCCGCCACACUGGGACUGAGACACGGCCCAGACUCCUACGGGAGGCAGCAGUGGGGAAUAUUGGACAAUGGGGGGAACCCUGAUCCAGCCAUGCCGCGUGUGUGAAGAAGGCCUUAUGGUUGUAAAGCACUUUAAGCGAGGAGGAGGCUCUUUUGGUUAAUACCCAGAAUGAGUGGACGUUACUCGCAGAAUAAGCACCGGCUAACUCUGUGCCAGCCGCCGCAGUAA
rnacentral:rRNA from 1 species